AGGAGAGAGGACAGAGAGCCUGCUUGCUUUAAAGGAACCAACCGUGUAAGCGGCUCCUCUCCUCUCCCACUUUGCUCCUUUAAAGAAGCAGGCUCUCUGUCCCUCUCUCCU